rnacentral:rRNA from 1 species
GGUUAAGCGACUAAGCGUACACGGUGGAUGCCCUGGCAGUCAGAGGCGAUGAAGGACGUGCUAAUCUGCGAUAAGCGUCGGUAAGGUGAUAUGAACCGUUAUAACCGGCGAUUUCCGAAUGGGGAAACCCAGUGUGAUUCGUCACACUAUCAUUAACUGAAUCCAUAGGUUAAUGAGGCGAACCGGGGGAACUGAAACAUCUAAGUACCCCGAGGAAAAGAAAUCAACCGAGAUUCCCCCAGUAGCGGCGAGCGAACGGGGAGCAGCCCAGAGNNNNNNNNGUGAGCUCGAUGAGUAGGGCGGGACACGUGGUAUCCUGUCUGAAUAUGGGGGGACCAUCCUCCAAGGCUAAAUACUCCUGACUGACCGAUAGUGAACCAGUACCGUGAGGGAAAGGCGAAAAGAACCCCGGCGAGGGGAGUGAAAAAGAACCUGAAACCGUGUACGUACAAGCAGUGGGAGCCUCUUUUAUGGGGUGACUGCGUACCUUUUGUAUAAUGGGUCAGCGACUUAUAUUCUGUAGCAAGGUUAACCGAAUAGGGGAGCCGAAGGGAAACCGAGUCUUAACUGGGCGUUAAGUUGCAGGGUAUAGACCCGAAACCCGGUGAUCUAGCCAUGGGCAGGUUGAAGGUUGGGUAACACUAACUGGAGGACCGAACCGACUAAUGUUGAAAAAUUAGCGGAUGACUUGUGGCUGGGGGUGAAAGGCCAAUCAAACCGGGAGAUAGCUGGUUCUCCCCGAAAGCUAUUUAGGUAGCGCCUCGUGAAUUCAUCUCCGGGGGUAGAGCACUGUUUCGGCAAGGGGGUCAUCCCGACUUACCAACCCGAUGCAAACUGCGAAUACCGGAGAAUGUUAUCACGGGAGACACACGGCGGGUGCUAACGUCCGUCGUGAAGAGGGAAACAACCCAGACCGCCAGCUAAGGUCCCAAAGUCAUGGUUAAGUGGGAAACGAUGUGGGAAGGCCCAGACAGCCAGGAUGUUGGCUUAGAAGCAGCCAUCAUUUAAAGAAAGCGUAAUAGCUCACUGGUCGAGUCGGCCUGCGCGGAAGAUGUAACGGGGCUAAACCAUGCACCGAAGCUGCGGCAGCGACGCUUAUGCGUUGUUGGGUAGGGGAGCGUUCUGUAAGCCUGCGAAGGUGUGCUGUGAGGCAUGCUGGAGGUAUCAGAAGUGCGAAUGCUGACAUAAGUAACGAUAAAGCGGGUGAAAAGCCCGCUCGCCGGAAGACCAAGGGUUCCUGUCCAACGUUAAUCGGGGCAGGGUGAGUCGACCCCUAAGGCGAGGCCGAAAGGCGUAGUCGAUGGGAAACAGGUUAAUAUUCCUGUACUUGGUGUUACUGCGAAGGGGGGACGGAGAAGGCUAUGUUGGCCGGGCGACGGUUGUCCCGGUUUAAGCGUGUAGGCUGGUUUUCCAGGCAAAUCCGGAAAAUCAAGGCUGAGGCGUGAUGACGAGGCACUACGGUGCUGAAGCAACAAAUGCCCUGCUUCCAGGAAAAGCCUCUAAGCAUCAGGUAACAUCAAAUCGUACCCCAAACCGACACAGGUGGUCAGGUAGAGAAUACCAAGGCGCUUGAGAGAACUCGGGUGAAGGAACUAGGCAAAAUGGUGCCGUAACUUCGGGAGAAGGCACGCUGAUAUGUAGGUGAAGUCCCUCGCGGAUGGAGCUGAAAUCAGUCGAAGAUACCAGCUGGCUGCAACUGUUUAUUAAAAACACAGCACUGUGCAAACACGAAAGUGGACGUAUACGGUGUGACGCCUGCCCGGUGCCGGAAGGUUAAUUGAUGGGGUCAGCGCAAGCGAAGCUCUUGAUCGAAGCCCCGGUAAACGGCGGCCGUAACUAUAACGGUCCUAAGGUAGCGAAAUUCCUUGUCGGGUAAGUUCCGACCUGCACGAAUGGCGUAAUGAUGGCCAGGCUGUCUCCACCCGAGACUCAGUGAAAUUGAACUCGCUGUGAAGAUGCAGUGUACCCGCGGCAAGACGGAAAGACCCCGUGAACCUUUACUAUAGCUUGACACUGAACAUUGAGCCUUGAUGUGUAGGAUAGGUGGGAGGCUUUGAAGUGUGGACGCCAGUCUGCAUGGAGCCGACCUUGAAAUACCACCCUUUAAUGUUUGAUGUUCUAACGUUGACCCGUAAUCCGGGUUGCGGACAGUGUCUGGUGGGUAGUUUGACUGGGGCGGUCUCCUCCUAAAGAGUAACGGAGGAGCACGAAGGUUGGCUAAUCCUGGUCGGACAUCAGGAGGUUAGUGCAAUGGCAUAAGCCAGCUUGACUGCGAGCGUGACGGCGCGAGCAGGUGCGAAAGCAGGUCAUAGUGAUCCGGUGGUUCUGAAUGGAAGGGCCAUCGCUCAACGGAUAAAAGGUACUCCGGGGAUAACAGGCUGAUACCGCCCAAGAGUUCAUAUCGACGGCGGUGUUUGGCACCUCGAUGUCGGCUCAUCACAUCCUGGGGCUGAAGUAGGUCCCAAGGGUAUGGCUGUUCGCCAUUUAAAGUGGUACGCGAGCUGGGUUUAGAACGUCGUGAGACAGUUCGGUCCCUAUCUGCCGUGGGCGCUGGAGAACUGAGGGGGGCUGCUCCUAGUACGAGAGGACCGGAGUGGACGCAUCACUGGUGUUCGGGUUGUCAUGCCAAUGGCACUGCCCGGUAGCUAAAUGCGGAAGAGAUAAGUGCUGAAAGCAUCUAAGCACGAAACUUGCCCCGAGAUGAGUUCUCCCUGACCCUUUAAGGGUCCUGAAGGAACGUUGAAGACGACGACGUUGAUAGGCCGGGUGUGUAAGCGCAGCGAUGCGUUGAGCUAACCGGUACUAAUGAACCGUGAGGCUUAACCUU